CAGCAGCCGCGGGAAUACGUAGGGUGCGAGCGUUAAUCGGAAUUACUGGGCGUAAAGCGUGCGCAGGCGGUUGUGUAAGACAGGUGUGAAAUCCCCGGGCUUAACCUGGGUACUGCGCUUGUGACUGCACAGCUAGAGUAUGGCAGAGGGGGGUGGAAUUCCACGUGUAGCAGUGAAAUGCGUAGAGAUGUGGAGGAACACCGAUGGCGAAGGCAGCCCCCUGGGCCAAUACUGACGCUCAUGCACGAAAGCGUGGGGAGCAAACAGGAUUAGAUACCCGCGUAGUCCCUGUCUCUUAUAC
rnacentral:rRNA from 1 species